rnacentral:lncRNA from 1 species
GCUCCUGUCCCAGCUUCUCGUCAAGAGUCCUACCAUGUUCAACCCGAUAGAUCCUCAGAUCACCGCCGUGGACGUGGUAAUGGACGUGGUAAUGGCCGAGGACAUGGACGUGGAAGACGUGGACGCGGACAUGGUCGUGGCAACCGACCUAACCUCAGUUAUGGUCCUGGUCGUGGUCGAGGCAUCACCAAGCCGACCCGCUACACCAACCCCGAUCACUCUGCUUGUACCAGAUGUGGGAUGUUCAACCACCCAACAAAGCAAUGUCGCACCCCCAAGAUCCACUGCGAUCUAUACCAGAAGUACGGAAAAGCUCCUGCUGAAGCCAACAUGACUCAGCCAGUCGAUGCUGCUAACCUGGAAGGUGACGACCUCCUUGAUGAUGAGAACACCACAAACGAGCAGACCGACC